AUUCUACGGGAGGCAGCAGUGGGGAAUAUUGCACAAUGGGGGAAACCCUGAUGCAGCGACGCCGCGUGAGUGAGGAAGUAUUUCGGUAUGUAAAGCUCUAUCAGCAGGGAAGAACCAUGACGGUACCUGCAGAAGAAGCCCCGGCUAACUACGUGCCAGCAGCCGCGGUAAUACGUAGGGGGCGAGCGUUAUCCGGAUUCAUUGGGCGUAAAGCGCGCGUAGGCGGCCCGCUAAGCGGGACCUCUAACCUGGGGGCUCAACCUCCAGCCGGGUCCCGAACUGGCGAGCUCGAGUGCGGUAGGGGG
rnacentral:rRNA from 1 species